ACUGGAUUCUUCCGACUUUUUACUUAAAAGCGUGUAAGGAUGCAAAAAAGUAGAGAUUUAUGUAUCCAAUUUAAUGGAGUAGUGUAAAUGUUUGAUUUUGGCUUAGAUUUUUAUGUUAUUGUUAAAGUUGCAUGAAAAGUAUUAUGGGACAAGAAAAUUUAACUUUAUGUUAAAUAUUAAAACUAACGUAGUUAUUACAAUAAGGUUUAUAAUCUCAGCAUAAAAUAUUAAUUAUGUGCGAAAGCAUGAAUUAGUGGCAAUAUAAAAGGCCUGAUAAAUAUUUGUGCCAGCAUUCGCGGUUAUACUUUGGGGCCAAGUAAAAAUAUUUUGAUAUUAGUUAAGCGGUAAUUUAAUUGUAAGUUAUUUGCAGCAAAGGGUAAAAUCAAGAUGCUGCUAGUGUAAUCGAAUAGACAAAUUUGUGCUGAAGCUAAAAAAAUCCAGUUAAAAACUAGGAUUAGAUACCCUACUAUUCUGGAUUGGAAAUAUAUUAUUAAGUUAGUAUUAGUUAGAUGCUUAAAAACCAAAAAAUUUGGCGGUGGCUUAAUCUUACCAGAGGAACUUGUUUCUUUAUCGAUAUACCACGAAGAAUCUUACUUACUUUUGUAAAUUAGUCAGUUUGUAUACCAUCAUUAGCAGGCAAUUUUAACAAAACUAAUUGCUAAUUAUUAAUUGAUUAUUGAAAUUAGAUCAUGGUGCAGCAUAUAAGUAAGUUGAAAUGAGUUACAAUAACUUUUGUUAGACGGAUCAGUAAAGUAAUUAUUACUGUAAAGGAGGAUUUGGUUGUAUUUCAAGUUUAAUAAGCUUUUAGGACAUUGGUUCUAAGCCAUGUACAUAUUGCCCGUCGCUUUCGUUUAUAUCGAAAUAAGUCGUAACAUAGUAGGUGUACUGGAAGGUGUGCCUAGAAUUAU
rnacentral:ncRNA from 1 species